UCGAGAAUCAUUCACAAUGGGGGAAACCCUGAUGAUGCGACGCCGUGUGAGCGAUGAAGGCCUUCGGGUUGUAAAGCUCUUUCGUGUGGGAACAAGAAAGGAGAGCUAAUAACUCUCCAAUUUGAGAGUACCAUAUAAAGAAGCACCGGCUAACUCCGUGCCAGCAGCUGCGGUAAUACGGAGGGUGCAAGCAUUAAUCGGAAUUAUUGGGCGUAAAGGGCGCGUAGGCGGAUAGGAAAGUCAGAUGUGAAAUUUCGAAGCUCAACUUCGAAGCUGCAUUUGAAACUUCCUGACUAGAGGAUAGGCGGAGAAAACGGAAUUCCACGUGUAGCGGUGAAAUGCGUAGAUAUGUGGAAGAACACCUGUGGCGAAAGCGGUUUUCUAGCUUACACCUGACGCU
rnacentral:rRNA from 1 species